rnacentral:lncRNA from 1 species
ACAUUAAGUUUAACUGACUCCGCUGAAGCAUUAUCAGGAAUACAGGACUUAUCAGUAGUUAACUUCUCGUCGACAUAAUAAAACGAGGUCUCCUCAAUCCCUAACAGAGUGUUCUCGUAUCGAAAACCAGGUGCAAGCUUUGGAUUGACCAACAAUUCCUUGUGGAAAUUUGACUUCAAGUAUUGCUCCUCAAGAUCUUCGACACUCUUGUACAACUGAUUGAGACAGCCUUUCCAUGAAACAUUCCGCAUCUUUUCUAAUAUAAACCCAAGUGGGAGAGUCAAGAAACUGCAGAGUAGAUUAACAAAAUCCUCUUGUGCCUCUGCAUAACAAACAAUCUUCUUAGACUUGCUAACUACAAGCUUAAGAGAAAUGUUUUUCUCUUCCUCAUUGAUUGUGUCACCAUCCAUUUGAGAAUCAAUUGAUAUUCCUUGACAGGAAUGUACAUCUCCCAAACUUGGUAUUGGUUCGUUUUUCAGAAGAAUUUCAGUCAAUGGUGUCUUUGAUACAAACGAAUGCAUAAGCAAAUUCAAAGCCUGGAAAAAAAGACAUCAAGCUAGUUAGAAACCACUUCUAUUGUUGUUGAUGAAAAAAAAAAUUGAAGGCACACCCCACAAGAAAGAAAUACCUCCUGAACUCCCAUAUUGAAAGUCGACUCCUCUGUAGUUUUAGAAUCCGUGACCCCUAGCUUCGAAAACAAACAAAUGCUUGUUGCACUUACUGGGGAAAUGACCUGUAAAUCAUCGGUAAUUAUCAGCCUGGGUCGCCCUUUCACAAAUGCGCCUCCAACUUGAGUAUUAUCCACUGGAAUCUCCCCAGAAAUGGAAGAACCACAGGAAGGACAGGUGACACUUUUAUAAUAGCUAAAAAAGCAUCUUUGACAGCACUUAAAGUACCGUGUUGGCCAAUCUUUGUCAAAUUUCAACUUGAGGUUCUUGCAUUGAAGAUAUGCAGAAUUGCAGGGAAAUAACAACAUAACUUUACAAACAUUUGAUCGGAAGUUAUGCACAUCAAAUUUCAUAAUACUCUGAUACAAAUUUCUCAUACAACCUAUUUCCACCGGUACUGAACACUCAGCAAGCGUGACAAUUCUUCCCAUGGGCAUUGUCAAGAAACUGAAGAGAACAUCAAUAAAAUCACCGUCGGACUCUACGAAGAUAACUUUGUUGCUUCCCGUGUCCACCAAGGCCUUCAAGGUAAUAACAUUUUCAAGAUCCUCAUUCAACACAGCCUUUUUUUCAGCCAUGAUUGAAAGAAAGUAUAAAGUCGGCUUGCUAUCCUGUUGUUGAACAAAUUCAGUAAGCAAUUGUCACAAAUAUUUGUUGUAGGAUAAUGACAACCGAAAUAAAGCCUGUGUAGUCCGUGCCGAUGUUAAGUUGUUUCCCUCCUCAAACAUGAAAGAAGCUUCAAAAUACAAAUCAACUACUGGGAAAGAGAUAAAAUCUUGAGGAAAAAAUAGCUUAAGCUAUAGGAAACAGAUUAUCUAAAACCGGCAGACCCUAUUUUUAUUUGAAAAUCUUCUAGCAGAUAACAAAUAUGAUACUAAAAGAUUGAAAAAAAUAACCAUCUUAUUGAAUUCUCUGGAAAAAAAAAAAAAACGUUAAAAAAAAUCAUAAAUCUUUCUCAGAAAAUUUCCAAUAAUCUUUUUUAGAAUUGUGACUGUUUGGUUUUUGGUUUCAGUUAGUGAUAGAGGGGAUAUAUUUCGGGAGAGUUGAAACAAAAAUCAUUUCAUUUUCACUUUGAAGAUUUUGUUUUCAUUUUUUUCUUCCUUAUUUCUUCCCCUUUCUCGUCAUUUUCCCUGUAUACUUUCUUCGUGUCUCAAGCACAAAAAUGAAAAUCAGGACCUAAAAACCAAACCAAAAGGCCCGCAAUAUGACGUUGUUAUUUUCUUUUUUCAUUUUAUGUAAUAUGAAAUUUGAAGUGUCAACCUUUCUGAUAAAGGGAACCAUUUUGCGUAGAAAAGCUUGGAUUGAUCACAAGAAAUUAUAUAAGUACUACUAAUAUAGGAUCCAACAUGUUUAAAAAUAAAUAAGACAACAAAUAAGAGGUUCUUAAUUACCUUAGUUCAGAAACUCUUUCAACCUUCCAACAUGCAAAAUCUGAAUAUGUUACCCACAAACAUUAAUGAGAAUCCUAACUCAACAUCUCACGUAAACUUAACCGUACCAGAAAAAAAAAACAUGAAACUUGAAGAACAAACCUUCCUGGGUUGAAUUGGCGAGCCGAAGUAAUGGAUGAAAUAUACGAAAGCACACAAGGAAGAUCAUCGACUUUGGAGAGAAAAUAUAGUGAUAAAAAGUAAAGUGAGAGGAAGAAGUAAAGUGAUUGCUUUGUUUCACAACAUUAUCUUUUUUAUUUUGGAAAUUUUAACAAAAAGCUCUCAGUACUCUUUAACGAAAAAUCACAUUUUUACACUAAAAGUCAAUCAUAGUACUAUUCACUCUACCAUUUAUUUUGUCUUUAUUGUUAAAACUCAAAAUUUUCAAGCUUUUUUAAUUAGUUUUUUUUUUUUUUUUUUGGCUAGACACAACAUUAUCUUUUCAUAGCAGGAAUGGUGCAGUAGAUUUGACAUCAUUGGUUAAUUAAAAAAACAAUGCUAAAUAGACUCUUUUAAAUUGGAAUUCUCCAUCCUAUAAAAAAAAUUGGGAUUCUUUAUAAACUCUUUAUUAGUUUACAGCUUAAUGUCAAUUAUCAUGCCAAGUUUAUAAAAAAUUGUAAAUAAAAUAUGAGAUGACAUAUAAUUUAUAAAUAAUCUCAUUUUGAAAAAAUCUUAUUAACUUUUCAUAAGGAGAUGUUACCUAAAAGUAAUAAAAUUUUAUAUUUAAAAUUUCAAAGCGUUUGGAAUCCAAUUCACUAGUCUUCCUAGUUAAGGAUUGAGAUUGAUAGUUUUAAUGUUUUACAUUAGAUUUUUGUUGACGACGAGUUUGAUUUUUAAUAUGUGCCAUAUCACUUGUAUUAAAAAGAGUAGUUAUCUUCACAUAUUCAUUUUUACUUUGUACAUUUUUGUUAGUUUUUAUCUAUUAAUAUUAUUUAAUUUAUUUGAUCCAACAAUUGAAAAUUAAGAGGAGUGUGUGAGAAGUAAAAAUGGGUAUGUGGAUUGCACCACACAGAAAAAAUAUAUUGACAUUGCAUGACAAGUGCCCUUUUUGGAAAGCUAAAGCUAAAAUUAGACUUGGUAAUCGUGUCAUAUUUGUUGUGUUCGUGUCGUUUUCGUGACAUAUACGAUAUCUUCAUGGAACGUGUUGUGUCAAAUCCGUUAAAAUGAACUGAUAAUAUGAUAUGAACCAAACUCAACCGGUUAAAAUUAACGAGUAAUAUCACCCUAUCCGUUCCCAUUAAGAAAAUAUAUUUGACUUCCAUUAAUAAUCGAAUGAAAAACGUCAUACUAAAUUAGUAUCUACACAACACAUUGACAUAUUGUUUAAUUAAAAAAAAUGUCAAUGAGACUUUUAAAGUGAGACUCUUUGUAGAUUAUUUGUCAUCUCAAGACGUCAAUUUAUGUGUUAAUAUUAUAAAAUAUAAGAUAGCAGACUGUUCGUAGACUCCCACUUUUGAUAUAUUCUCCUUAGCUUUUGACAAGGAGAUGUUACCUAAGAGUGAAAGUAAGAAAAUUUUAUAUUUAAAAUUUCAAAGCGUUGGAAUCCCACUCACAAAUUUCUUCCUAGUUAAGGAUUGAGAUUGAUACUUUUAGGGGGGAUGUUUUAAGUUAGAUUUUUGUUAACCUCGAGUUUGAUUGUUUAUUAUGUGGCAUAGCAAUCGUAUUAAAAAAAAGUAAGGCUAUUUAAACACUUCUUUUUAUGUCUUAUACACUAUUAUUAAUUUUUAUUCGUUGAUUUUUUCAAUUCAUUUAAUUCAAGUACUAAAAAUUAAGAAAAUAUAUAUUGGCAUUGAAUGACUAGUGCCCAUUUUGAAAAGCUAUAGCUAAAGUGGUGGCCCAUAACAUGCACCUCUAGACUCAUGGUUUUUUUUUCUUUAAAAUGGUGGCCCAUAACAUGCACAAAAAUGUUUGAUCUUUAAUUUUAUGUUUUUUCCCUUUCUGAAAUGUAUAUUCUUGUACCGUUGAUCUGUUUGGACUGAUUCAGUCUGAGUACUCUGCUUGAUUAUGAUUUAAUUUAGUCCAAGAAAAUUACACAUAUUAUUAUAGCGUUUACACAAAACGCUAUGAUGAUGAUGUACUCGUGCUAUUAAAGUUGUUCUUGCCAUUACUCUAGCAGAAAAUAACCCAAAAAAUAGAAACAAGGGAAAUUAAAAGAAAAACCCAAAACCAAAGAACAAAGUCCAAAGUUUAAAUUUAAUAACAAAUGCAUCCUCGAUCCCCGACGAUGGUAAGGGAUGGAUGCUUAAUUAUAGCAAAGUCGCCAUGAAAGAAACUGUUGAAUAAGUGGCCAAGUGGCCAAAUGGACAACAAAACAAAACAACUUUCGGCUAAUAAACAAACCAAAAGGAAAAAAAAAAAAAGGUGAAAGACAAAAUGAUGAGGGAACAUAUGAUUAUGUUUGUUGAAAAGAAAAAUUGAAGGUCAUGAUGAUGUUUUUGAAUUUUUUAUUUGGUGCUUUUGUAUUGAUGAAGUGAGCAUACGGAAGUGAGAAAUAGAGAGGAAGUGUGCAUCAUUUUUUCUGUUUUAGUAGCCCAUCUUUGAGAGAGCAAAGAGAGCUGCAGAGAGCAGAAAACAGAGAGUAGAAAAGAAGAAGAAGGGCUCUUCUCUUUGGUUAGUAAUCACCCACCAAGGUAGUUGUUGUUAUAAUAGCUUUGAGCUUUGUAUAGAGAAGAAAUUAAUCAUUAUAUUUCUCUUUAUUUGUUUCUUUGGUGUGUGAAAACUAUUGGUUAUAUUGGGUUAUUUGGGUUGUGAGAUUGCCAACACUUUGUAAACUCCCAUUUGGUUGAUAGUGGAUUAUUGGGUGAGCUCCUACUGCUCCGAGGACGUACUCCAGUUACACUGAUUGUUGAGGAACCUCGUUAAAUCUUGGUGUUCUUUUAUAUUUUUAUUCUUGCAUUUCAUUUGAUAAAUUUCCUGUGGAUUAGCUUGAGUUGGUUCCAUUUGGUUUGGUGCUAUCCUAGCACAACAAGAAGCUACCUAAAAGUGGAAGUUUCAACCUUCAUAUAAGUUUUUCAAGCAACCAAUUCCCAGUGGAAAAGAAUAACGAUUGGAAAGCCUGAUAAUUGUUCCCACUGGAAUUGUCAAGAAACUGAAGAGAACAUCAAUUAUCACAAACGAACAAGUUUUUCAAAAAACACAAUGUAAAAAUAAUAUCAUCCAUAUAAGAACCAGGUCAGUGAGCAAUUGUCACAAAUAUAUUAUCUCAAACCGGCAAACCCUAUUUUUAUUUGAAAAAUCUUGCGAAUAGAUUGGAGAGAGUUAAGUGUUAAAAAGUAAACGGACCUGGUUUCUCUGUCAUUCUAGUUCUCAUACACUCUCAUUCAUUUUCAUUUGUGAGGUCACGGUUAAGCCACGUCAACAUUUUAUAUCACUAUUACCUUUUGUCUUAUUAUCUCUAUAAAGAAAAUUAAUAUAAAAUGUUGACGUGGCUUAACUGUGAUCGCACAAAAUAGGAGGGGAUGAGAAUGUAUAGGAAGUGAGAGGGUAGAGAAGUCGGGUCCAAAGUAAAGUGAUCGCUUUGUUUCACGACAUUUUCUUUCCACUGUUCAGUUUGACAUUAUUGUUUAAUUAAAAAAAGUAAAGUUAGGGAGGCGUCACCAUUUUUGCUUUCCACAAGAAUAGAUGUUACUUGAAAGCUAAGAAUUUUUUUUAUUAUGCCGGAAAUAUGGUUUAGUAUACCAAGUGUCAUAGUUAAAAAAUUUUAUUUAAAACUCCAAUCACUUGUUAUGAUAUUUUGUGUACUAAAUCGUGUUUUCAAUACACUAAAAAAAUCUCUCAUAAAGUGGAAGUAACAAUUUUAUAUCUAAAUUUAAAAGAUUUGGAAUCCAGUUCACUAAUUUCUUCCUAGUUAAGGAAUGAGAUUGAUACCUUUGGGCGUGAUGUUUUAGGUGACAAAGCACUCAUGUUAAUAAAAAGGAUAUAUUACACAAAACUACCUCAAUUAUAAGUCGAACCACAAUCACAUACCUCAUGUUUUAAACAUCACAAUGUUAUACCUCAACUUUUGAAUUCGUUGCAAUGUUAGAUCUCCGUUAAGUUUUCUGUCAAUUUAACUGUUAUACCUCAACUUUUGAAUUCGUUGCAAUGUUAUACCUCAACUUUUGAAUUCGUUGCAAUGUCCGAAUUAAGAGUUUUUUUUAUUUUAAGAAUUUUAACGAAAAACACUGGAGUGUUUAUUUUAACGAAAAAUCACAUUUUUACACUAAAAAGCCAAUCCUGUACUAUUUAUUUUAUCCUUUAUUUUGUCUAUAUCGUUAAAAUUCAAAGUUUUUAAGUUUUUUUCAUUAGAUUUUUUUAAUAUUAUAUUAGAUUUUUUAAUUAAGUUUAAUUGUUAAAUAAUUUUUUAUUAAUUAAUUUUUUAUUCCAAUUGGCAAAGGAGUGGGUUCUGCUCUUGUCACGUCAUCAUUUAAUAGGCAAAUUGACAAAAAAGUUAACGAAACUCUGAUAUUGCAAUGAAUUCAUAAGUUGAGGUAUUGAAAUGUUUAAAAUAUAAGGUAUGAGAUUGUGAUUCGAUCUAUAGUUGAAAUAGUUUUAGUCUAAAAAUAUUUAUUGACAUUGAAUGACUGGCACUCUUUUUGAAAAGCUAAAGCUAAAACGGUGGCCAAAAUGGUGACCCGAACUAGGCACAAAAGGUUUGAUCUUUAAUUUCUUGUUUUUUUCACUUUCUUAUUUGCCCUUGUACUGUUGAUCUGUUUGUACUGAUUCAGUCCGAGUAUUCCGCUUGAUAUGCUAAUAUAUAUUCAUCUAAUUUAGUCUGAAAAACUUACACGUAACGUUAUAUCAUUAUAUCAUCGACACAGAAUAUCAUAAUAACAGUAUCCAUGCUAUUAAAUUUAAGGGUUAAGAUCUGAGAGUUGAGGGAAGGGAAAUAAGCACAAUAGGUGGGGUGUUUGUGUGUGUGGUGGCGGUGGUAGGACUCCUACCGUAGGAGUCAGAGAAGGAGAUGGGGUGGGUGUAAAAGAAAGUGGUGGAGGAAGAUGGAAAAAAUGAAGUCCUUAAUCUCUAUUUUGUUCAAUGCGAUGCGAGGUAUACGAAUUGUCAGGGAUGAUGAAAUGAGAUCAUAUUUUGUAGAUCACAUUUAAAUUAUUUCUUUAAUAAAAAUAGGAUCCACAAGUACAGACCUGAACAAUAUCACAAAGUUCGCCUAGAUACAACCGAUCUUCAUCACAAUACAAACCAAACCCUACAUAUUCGACAGAAACUAACCGAAACUGGCCUAAAGCCAACCAGGUCCAAACUCCCUUCGCAACUAGAUCUCACAUUUUUCACUUUAUCUCAAACCCAAAUGUUACCAUGUAAAUAAAAAUUAGUCUCAGACAAACAGGAAAUACUGUGGAUUCCUGUGCAGUAACAACAAAAGCAAGCCCUUCUUUGUGUAACCAAUCCCUCCUCAUUGUUCUUGCUUUGGCUCCCUAAGCUCUGAAAUGAAGGUAUUGGUAAGAGCAGAAUCACCGAUAAAUGAGGCCGCCAAAAGAAGCAACGCCUGCAAAAAGAGUAACAAACUCUAACGUUAAAAGAAUUUAAACAGAUGACUAAUCUUACAUGUCCACAAAAUGGGAUGUCUUCAAAUUCAAGGCUUCAACUUUGUAGGUCAACGUAUGGAUUGACUCAAUUAAGUAUUUGAUUACUUGUUUGGGAUUGCGGUAUUAGAGAUGUUGGAUAAGAGGACGAAUCAGUCGAGGUGAUUUGUGUUGCCGAUGAUUCAUAAGGAAAUCCCGAGGGACAUGAAAUCUGGUAACAGAGAUUCCACAUAAACUAAUAAAGCAACACAUAAGUGGCUGAACAUCAACUGCCUGCGCUAGCUAGUUUGCCCGUCUGGAGUCAAAUCUACGAUUUUUCAAUAGGGAUCAUUUCACCAACCUGAUAUUCUGUUGACAUUUUCUAAAUUGAAUGUAAGCUCUCGAUUUUAUGAUAAACCAAUGGCCUAAAUUGUUAAAAGAACUUGCAAAUCUGAAACCAACGGAUUCUUUCAGUAAGGUUAAUCAAACAUUAUAAAUGACAACUCACUCACCUCCCUCUUGCCCACAUGCACGGUAUGAUCCUCGAUGUCAGUGAAAGGUAAUUCUUGAAGAACAGAGAUUUUAAGGAUUGGAGAUAUCACUCGUACAACUAGAAUGCCAGUCACUCUGAAGAUAGCAGGUCCUCUAAGAAAUCCUUCCACAGGAUCUGAAUGUUUACGAGCAAGCUCGAUAACUGUUCCCAUGGGGAUUGUCAAGUAACUGAAGAUAGUAUCAACCAAAUCAUUACCAGACUCCACGAAAAUAAUCUUGUUGCUUCCCUUGUCCACCAAGGCCUUCACGCAAAUAGUAGGAUUAGAAGCCAUUGAUUCUAAGGAUAAGACCUACAACGAACGUUGGCUAAACGAAAAUGGAGUCUAUUAUAAAGCAAUAGGUUUCUUUGGCAGGUGAAAAGCAUAAAGGUGAAUUCAAUAAGUUCUCUUGAUUUAUUGUAGAUCAUUUGAAUCAUGUUGGAAGACGAAGCAUCAGGUGAACCAAAUAAAUACAUUUACCAUUGUAAAUGUGGAAUUUUGAAAAGGAAGUCGUUUAGGUCGAAAUUGCAAACCUCAACGAUGACUUGAAGACUUUUCAAAGCUUCUUUAGCACACUGAGAACACGUCUUGAUACACAAGUGUCAACGUUUCGAUACACUAAUUAUCUCUCUAAUAAAAGUAGGAUCUACAAUACAAGGCCUCGUUUGGCACGCCGUAUAAAGCAUCGGAUAGGAUAAAUAAUACGGGAGCAGUUGUUUGGUGCACUAUCGUACUAAAUAAGCACCCGCUUAAUUAUCCGGUCUAUCAAAUUUUAUACGGUUGACACCGUACUAUUAAAACACCACAAAAGCUCGGGAUAAUUAGUCGGGGUGAUAUCCCUUCCAUCUUCACGACCACCACACCAAACCGACUGCGUCCGUGCUGUAGAUGUCCUGCUCCUGAACUUCUUCAAGCAUCGGAUCCACAUGCUGGUAGUCUAGAUCCAGAUAUGGAUCCAUUUCUACGACCUGAGUUCAGAUCCGGAUUCUCCAUAGCCUUUAGGUUCGAGAGCAGCCUCACCAUCCUCCCUGCUCACCUCGGUCUCUCGAUCCUGGAGCUUGCUCGCAGACCUCGCAGGGGCUAGACGCAGGGUGAUGAGAGUCGCAGUUGACGCAGAGGAAUACGGAGUCGAAGCGACAAAAUAGAGUUGUCGUCGCCGGGGAAGAAGAAUAAGGGAGAGAGAGGGAGGGAGUUUGGGGGUGCCGCGGAGAGAAGCGGGGAAGAAUUAUUUGGGAUGCUUUUGCAGUCGGGGAAGAAGAAGGAAGAGAGAGGGAGGGAGUUUGAUGGGUGCGGAAAGAUCUGCGAAAAAAAAAAAGAUGAUUUCACUUUUUUUUUAAGUUUUAUUCCUCUUAUCCGCUAUAAUACCAAUUUUAAGUUUUAUUCAUCUUAUCCGGUAUAAUACCAAACACAGUAUAAAUAAUACGGUCAUUAAUCCGAUACUGCACCAAACGCUCGACUAAUUUAGUCAAUACUAUCCGGUGGCUAUUUAUCCUAUUCGACAAAAAUAGUCAGUACAGUACGAGCUGCCAAACGAGGCCAGUACAGAGUUGAACAAUAUCACAAGGUUUGCCUAGAUACAACCGAUCUUUAUCAUAAUAGUUCGGCAGCCUUUUACCAAACCAAACCAUACAAAUUCGACAGAAACAAACCGAAACUGGCUAAAGCCAACCAGGUCCAAACACCCUUCGCAACCAGAUCUCAAAUUUUUCAUUUUAUCUCAAACCCAAAUGUUACCAUGUAAAUAAAAUUUAAUCUCACAGAUAGGAAUAUUGUGGAGUUCUUAUGCAGUAACAACAAAAGCAAGCUCUUCUUUGUGUGACCAAUCCUUCCUUAUUGUUCUUGCUUUGGCUCCCUAAGCUUUCCAAUGAAGGUAUUGGUAAGAGCAGAAUCACCAAUAAACGAGGCCACCAAAAGAAGCAACGCCUGCAAAAAGUAACAAACUCUGAAGUUAAAAGAAAUUUAAACAGAUAACUAAUGUUACAUGUCCACAAAAUGGGAUUCCUUCAACUUUGAAGGUGGACGUACGGAUUGGCUCAAUUAAGUGUUCGAUUACAUGUUUGGGAUUAUGGUAUCAUUUUCCAACAAUUGACUACCCUUGUUGUUUAGAGCAAUCAAUAACAUAACAUUGUGGACUGAUGCAAAUCAACAACCGUAACAAGGGAACUCCACUGACAGAUUAGAGAUGUUGGAUAAGAUCACUUAUCAGUCAAGGUGAUAUGUGUUGCCGAUGAUUCAUAAGGAAAUCCCAGAGGGACAUGAAAUAUGGUAACAAAAAUUCCACAUAAACUAAUGAAGCAUAACAUUAGUGGAUGAACAUCAAACUUUAUAAAUGACAAUUCACCUCCCUCUUGCCCAUAUGCACGAUAUGGUCCUCGAUGUCGGUGAAAGGUACCUUCAAUUCUUGAAGAACAGACAUUUCAAGGAUUAGAGAUAACGGUCUUACAACUAGAUUGUCAGUCACUGUGAAGGUAUCAGGUCCUUUCAGAAAACCUUGAGCACUUUUAUUGCUAUCUUCAUGAGAUUUGGGAUAAAAAACAUUAAGUUUAACUGACUCCGCUGAAGUAUUAUCAGGAAUACAGGACUUAUCAGUAGUUAACUUCUCGUUGAGAUAAUAAAAUGAGGUUUCCUCGAUUCCUAACAGAGGGUUCUCGUAUCGAAAACCAGGUGCAAGCUUUGGAUUGACCAACAAUUCCUUGUGGAAAUUUGACUUCAAGUAUUGCUCAUCAAGAUCUUCGACACUCUUGUACAACUGAUCGAGACAGCCUUUCCAUGAAACAUUCCGCAUCUUUUCU